rnacentral:rRNA from 1 species
CGCAAGGUGAUAAAUUUGCUGAGUGGCGGACGGGUGAGUAACGCGUGAACAAUCUGCCUUAGAGAGGGGGAUAACAGAUAGAAAUAUUUGCUAAUACCGCAUAAGACCACAAGGUCGCAUGACCAAGGGGUAAAAGGAGUAAUUCGCUUUAAGAUGAGUUUGCGUAUCAUUAGUUAGUUGGUGAGAUAACGGCCCACCAAGACUACGAUGGUUAGCCGACCUGAGAGGGUGUACGGCCACAUUGGAACUGAGACACGGUCCAGACUCCUACGGGAGGCAGCAGUGAGGAAUAUUGGGCAAUGGAGGAAACUCUGACCCAGCAACGCCGCGUGAAGGAUGAAGGUCUUCGGAUUGUAAACUUCUGUUAUAGGGGAAAAAGAAAGUGAUGGUACUCUAUGAGCAAGCUACGGCAAACUAUGUGCCAGCAGCCGCGGUAAUACAUAGGUAGCAAGCGUUAUCCGGAAUAACUGGGCGUAAAGGGAGCGUAGGUGGUUGUGCAAGUUGUAUGUGAAAGCCCUGAGCUUAACUCAGGAACUGCAUACAAAACUGUACUUCUAGAGUGUGGGAAAGGCAAGUGGAAUUCCUAGUGUAGCGGUAGAAUGCGUAGAGAUUAGGAGGAACACCAGAGGCGAAGGCGGCUUGCUGGAACACAACUGACACUGAGGCUCGAAAGCGUGGGGAGCAAACAGGAUUAGAUACCCUGGUAGUCCACGCUGUAAACGAUGGAUACUAAAUGUAGGCGGAAUCGACUCUGCCUGUAUUGAAGCUAACGCGAUAAGUAUCCCGCCUGAGUAGUACGGCCGCAAGGUUGAAACUUAAAGGAAUUGACGGGGACCCGCACAAGCAGCGGAGCAUGUUGUUUAAUUCGACGCAACUCGAAGAACCUUACCAAGGCUUGACAUUGAAUGCAUAAUAUGGAAACAUAUGAAAUUGGUGUAGCAAUACAUCAACAUUUAAACAGAUGGUGCAUGGUUGUCGUCAGCUCGUGUCGUGAGAUGUU